UAAUGGAAUAAAAUAAAAAUAAUGAAUAAAAUAUUCUAAUUUUUCAUAAAACAAUUUUUAUAGAACGCUACGUAAAUAAUUUUUACAACGUAAAAGCAAAAUAAAUUCCUACAUACAGUAGAACACGCAGCCAGGUAUUCAAAACAUUUAACAAUGACAUGUGGGCCCCCGAAUGACUAAAAGUAAUGAAGGUUGUGAACCUACAGUUUUUGAGGAUGCAAGUCCAACUGUAGCCCUCAACAAAAUAAGCUAUCUACCUACUAUCCUGAGCUUGAAAUGGGUGGAAAGAAGGGUGGUGAGAUUAUAUAAUCCCAGUGAGUAAACAAAUAUCAUCUAAAACAUCUAAAGCUAAGUAAAUGGAGACAGAUAAAAUAGAUUAGCAUUUCACCCAAAUAAAUAACGAAGCUUACGAUUUCCUGAAAAGCUUGGCUCGUGCCAAAAUCAUUCUCAUACUCGGUUGUCAAGGAUACCUUGGCCUGACGCUAUCCCAACCGAAUCCGCCAAGGCUGUUAAAAAGUCAUGUACGCAUAAAUCAUGUUUUUACUUUGAAAACGUAGUCGUUCCUUGGCGUUGGCCGAGUUCACCCUCACGUGGUGGUUCAGCGUGAAGUGAACUCUAAAGUUUUACCUCAGGAGUUACCAUACGCGCCUCCUCAACCGAGGUAAGAAUAUGCCCAGAUUUCGUGCCUCUCAAAAAGGCUGGUCCACAUAACCCGCCACUGUAGUGACCAAUCUAUAACCCACCAAUUCAAUAAAAAUUCAACAGCAUAACAUGACAAUUUUUAUCAUUAUCCAACGUAUCAAGGCAAACAACAGUUUAUACAUUUUCAACACAAAUACCCAUCCAGCCAUUCAUGCCCACGUUGUCAUAAGCCAUUCAAUUCAAAACAUAAUUUACAAUACAGCAAGUAGUCUCCAAUUACUCCAUUUUCAAAACCAUUAUUCAAUUUUAAGACAAUUUAUAAAAUCAUUUCAUUUAAUCACAUUUUCCAUAAAAUUACAAAAUCGGAUAAAAACAUACUUUAGAUAAUUAAGACGAUAAUAAGGUUACUCACUGUAAUGGGAAUAGAAUUCGGGAUACUCUGAUUCUUGAUCCUCGGAUACUACCUCUUUACUCUUGCCAGAAUGCUCACCAC
rnacentral:lncRNA from 1 species